AACGCUGGCGGCGCGCUUAAUACAUGCAAGUCGAGCGAGAACCUGGGCUUCGGCCCUGGGGACAGCGGCGAACGGGUGAGUAACACGUGGGUAAUCAACCCUCGACACUGGGAUAGCCCGGGGAAACCCGGAUUAAUACCGGAUACCCCAUCUGGCCUUCGGGCCGGCUGGAAAAGGUAGCUUCGGCCUCCGGUCGGGGACGAGCCCGCGGCGGAUUAGCUUGUUGGUGGGGUAAUGGCCCACCAAGGCGACGAUCCGUAGCUGGUCUGAGAGGACGAUCAGCCACACUGGGACUGAGACACGGCCCAGACUCCUUCGGGAGGCAGCAGUAGGGAAUCUUGCGCAAUGGGCGAAAGCCUGACGCAGCGACGCCGCGUGAGGGAAGAAGGCCUUCGGGUUGUAAACCUCUUUCAGGAGGGACGAAGCCACUCGGGUUAACAGCCCAGAGGGUGACGGUACCUCCAGAAGAAGCCCCGGCUAACUACGUGCCAGCCGCCGCCGUAAUAC
rnacentral:rRNA from 1 species